AAUCAUUAGGCAAAAACUCUUGAAGCUCUGAAGCUCUGAAACUCCGAAGCUCUCAAGCAUCCAGGUUCCCGAAGAAUCAAGAAAGCGUUCUUCGUUCAUCGUUCUUCCAAGAUCAAGCCCGACGGCCCUUGGAUCAACAAUCAUCCACCUUCAAGCCCAAGCCUCAACGGCCCCUUGAAGAAAGCGUUCAUCGUUCAUCAACUGUUCAUCCUCAAGGAUCAAGCCCCAACGGCCCCUUUGGAUCGACAACAUCAACAAAUCCGCUCAUUCGCUGUUCAUCAAGCCCAAGCCCCGACGGCCCUUGAAGAAAGCGUUCAUCGUUCAUCACUGUUCUUCGAGAUCAAGCCCAAAAGCCCUCGAAGAUCCGUUCAAGCCCAAAAGCUCUCGAAGAUCCAUUCGUCACUGUUCUUCGAGUUCAAGCCCAAAAGCCCUCGGAAAUCCGUUCAUCACUGUUCUUCAAGAUCAAGCCCAAAAGCCCUUGAAGAUCCGUCAAUCACCAUUCUUCAAGAUCAAGCUCAAAAGCCCUCGAAGAUCCAUUCAUCCUCGUUCAUCCAAGAUCAAGCCUCGACGGCCCUUGGAUUAAUCGCACAUCCCACAAAUCAACACUUUGCGGAGAUCGAAUCAGAGGAUCAAAAUAGAGAGAGAUUGUAACCCAAAAUCAUCAAACACUUAAUAUUUGUUUGUACGCGUUCGUUCUUGUCUCUUUCGUUUCAGGAAUUUUCCGUGUUCACAAAUUGGCACGCCCAGUGGGACAUCUCUACCUCUCAUCUCUUCCUCCGUUCAAGGAAUAUAAGCACACUUCCAAAAUCAAUGACGUCAAGGAAGGCUCAAGCUGUUCCCAUAACCGGCGCAAAGAACAAAGGCGCCCUCGUCGCAAGUGGUGUCACGUUGGGUGUCACGACUCGAAGCAAAGCAAAAGCUACUUCUGCCACCUCUUUCACCUCUGCAUCAACUCUGCCAGGGGAACGAGAGUACCCUAGGCAUGAGCCUGUGAUCACUUUAGCCUCACUAAGGGCACCAAGGGGGGAAAGACCAAGGGAAUACUCCGAAUCCAUGCUCUCCGAUGACGAUUCAAGCGGCAGUUCAGCCAUGCAAGUCAUGACCGCUGGAGCAACUUCAGUCGAGGAACAGCUUGCUCAAAUGAAUGAAGCAAUCGCAAGACUAACUCGAACUGUGGAAGAAAAAGACUUGCAAAUUGCAGCACUAGUCAGCCGACUGGAGGCGCAGGACGGCGAUAAACCCGACCCAGAGGAUGAUCCACUAAAGGGAGGAGCUGGCGGAGACGAAGAACCCCCGGUGAAGAAAAUCGAUGGGAAGCCAAAACCAGACCAAGCAGCGGCACUCAUGGGAUCUCUUUCUAUCCAGCAGUUGCAGGAGAUGAUCACCAAUACCAUCAAGGCACAGUACGAAGGGAGCUCAAAUACCUCCGGGUUGUACUCAAAGCCGUAUUCAAAGAAGAUCGACACCUUAAGGAUGCCGAGGGGUUAUCAACCACCAAAGUUCAUGCAAUUUGAUGGAAAGGGAAACCCGAAACAGCACGUUGCCCACUUCGUUGAAACUUGCAACAACGCAGGAACCGAAGGGGAUUACCUCACAAAGCAGUUUGUGCGCUCGCUGAAAGGAAACGCCUUUGAGUGGUACACAGACCUAGAGCCUGAGUCCAUCAACAGCUGGGAGCAGUUAGAGCGGGAAUUCCUCAACCGCUUCUAUAGCACCCGCCGCACUGUGAGCAUGCUAGAGCUGACGAGCACGAAGCAAUGGAAGGAAGAACCAGUCAUGGACUACAUCAACCGAUGGCGUAAUCUAAGCCUCGACUGUAAGGACAGACUCUUCGAGAUUUCUUCAAUCGAGAUGUGUAUUCAAGGCAUGCAAUGGGGUUUGCAAUACAUCCUUCAAGGCAUUAAACCGCGGACCUUCGAGGAAUUGGCUACUCGCGCCCAUGACAUGGAGUUGAGCAUCGCCCAUCAUGGGAAGAAAGAACCGAUCGCCGACUACAAGAACGACAAAAUUCUUGGGACAAAGGUGGAAAAGGCCGCAUGGAAACCCACCAAGGAAGCGAUGACGGUCAACACAGCUCCCGUCAAAAUAUCCACACGAGGCAAGGCGAUUCAAACCGAAGCUUUUCGUGAUCAAGAGAUGCGUAGACGCACUUUGAAGGAGCUUGAGGAGAAGAUUUAUCCAUUCCCCGACUCUGAUGUGGUUGCCAUGUUAGAUGACCUGUUGGACAAGAAGGUGAUCAGUUUGCCUGAGUGCAGACGGCCGGAAGAGAUGAAUCGUACUGACAGUCCAAGAUACUGUAAAUUCCACCGCUUCAUCAGUCAUCCGACAGAAAAAUGUUUCGUGCUGAAAGAUCUCAUCAUGAAGCUGGCUCAGAAAGGAAUCAUCGAGCUAGAUCUUGACGAAGUGGCGAAGUCAAACUAUACCACCUUCACUUCUGGCUCUUCCGACUCAAAGUUUUCACCUCAACCGCUGGGGGCAUCCUCAAAGACAAGCAAAGUUGAAGGAUGGACUCAAGUCACUCCUAAGAAAUUGCACAAGAAGCAUACGUCUCCUCCACAAAUCCGCCAAUCGAAAAGGGGGCAAAGCAGCUCUUGUCAACCUUCAAAGCAACGUGAACGUGUUGAAGAUGAUGAAAUUGCGACACAAAAAUCGUCCGUUGCCAUCACGAUGCGCGACUUCUUUCCCGAAGACUUCUUCAAUCACGCGGUCAAAGCUCCUUGCUAUGAAAAUUGUGAGGAACGCCUCUCCCGGAUUGCUUGACAAAAUUCACAAAUGCUCAUCGCCUGCACGAGCCUAAAUUGCAUGGCACAAUGCUCCUGGUCUGCACGAGCAUAAAAAGGCAACACCAACGUUCCUGGUCUGCACGAGCAUAAAAGGCAACACCAACGCUCCUGGUCUGCACGAGCAUGAAAGGCAACACCAACGCUCCUUGCCUGCACGAGCUGAAACUGCAACACGGCACCAAACGCUCCUUGCCUGCACGAGCUGAAACUGCAACACGGCACCAAAUGCUCCUUGUCUGCACGAGUUGAAACUGCAAACGACACCAACACUCCUUGUCUGCACGAGUUGAAACUGCAAACGACACCAAAAGAAAAUACCGAAAAAAAAAAAGUAUUUGAACUACGUUACGACUUGAUCUCUUCUUUGGAGGGGUACGUAGGCAGCUCGAAUGUUCAAUUUUUCGAGUUCAGUCACAUCAAAAAAAAAAAAAAAAAAGAAUAAAUGUUUUAUUAAAGAAGGUCAAUUUUAUUACAAAUUUAUUUUGUUAAGAAAAUUUGCAAUUUUCUUUGUACAAAAUUAAAUUACAGUUUCUUCGAAAAUAAAAUAAAAUAAUGAAUACAUAUGUUAUUAUGUAUUUAGAAAAAAAAAGGAAAUAUAUAUACGUAUGUGUGUGUGCAUAUACAAAUAUAGGCCCAUCCACAAUUUCCAUAAAUAAAAUAAAAUAAAAAAUAAAAUAAAAAAAAAAAAAAGGGCGGCCCAUCUUUCUAAAUUCCAAUAAGCCCAGCUCUCAAAACCCACUUCGGGUUUUCUCCUCCAACCAAACCCUUCUCCAUUCCAGUCAUCCUUGGCGGCCGUAAAUUCAGGCUGCCGUGAGAGCAACAACCGCAUCCAUCGAUCCAAGUCCAAAGCAACGGCCGCGAUCUCCCCGAUGGUGCAGGCCGACGAGGAAGGCUUUGAGAUCGUUGACUGUGCCACCGAUUUCAUCUCCGAUCUUCCCGACGAGUGCUUGGCCUGCAUAUUCUACUCCCUCGGCUCCGGCGACCGGAAACGAUGCUCUCUGGUCUGCCGACGGUGGUUGAGGAUCGAGGGACAGAGCCGGCACCGUCUCUCCCUCCACGCACAAUCGAAUCUCUACCCGACCCCCGACACCAUACCAAACCCGAUACCCCGAUCCCCACCAUCGACCUGGCGGAUCUUCACACCGAUCGUCGACCAAAUCAGCCGCGCCUGCCGAACGUUCGGGUUCUUCCAGAUCGUCAGAUCAUGUUGUGGGCAGUACGGGUAGUGCUGGCCGUGGUGCUUCAGGACCGCAUAGGUGGGCUGCAAGUUAAGUACGGUGACGGUUGGGUGGAUGUGAAACCUGUUCCCGGUGCCCUCGUCAUCAACAUUGGGGAUUUUCUUCAGAUUGUGUCCAAUGGUGAAUACCGAAGUGUAGAUCAUCGUGUGUUUGGCGAACUCAUCCCGUGAACCCCGUGUGUCAAUCGCUGUGUUUUUCAAUGUGAGUAGAAAGGGAUAACUCAUACGGGCCAUUGCCAGAGCUGGUCUCCCCGGAGAAACCAGCGCUUUACCGGCAGUUUACGCUUUCAGAGUUCAUGCAAAGGUUCUUCAAUUAAGGGAUGAUGAUGGCAAGCAAGCAUGACCCGCAGAUUGAUCCAUUUGACUAAAGCAAACCAGAUGAAUAACUUAGCGGUGUUAUCUCCUCGUUGAUGCAGCUCGGGAAUAUUUUCCAUUCCGGCCUUGAUUUCUCCGCCAACUCUUCCUCUCCCCCAAUCUGCGAGCAGACCAAGCAGGUUUUGGCUGAUGAUGUCGUGACAAAUCCUGAUAAGAUGGCAGUUAUUACAAUGCACAAGUUGAUAGGGCUUGUUGAGUCCGGCAACGCAGUAGGCAAAUAGAAGGCUAUGGUUCCGCUUCAGAGUUUGUCAAAUGUUGGGCAUGGAGGGGUUCAUUCACCGGUUGAGAUCUACCGAACUGGUGAUUCUGUUUCUCAGGCUGCUCCUGCUAGCACUUUGAAAAAAAGCAUUUUAGCUGUCCCCGAGCUUGACCACGCUUAAAGCUUUCUACCGUCUUCAACAUAUCAACACCACUCCCUCACUGCCGCAUCGUCAUCCAACUCGAAUUCGCACAACAGUGAAGUAGCAAUCUUUUAUCUCCGGGCUCUUGACGAAUGGGAUUCUAUGGUUGCCUUCCGGGCUCCGUAACUCCCGCAACUCCCGCAGCUCCAGGGGCUUCAUCACAAUGGUGCCACUGCCGUCGUCAGCUUCAGAGCCAUAUUUUCUUCACAGACUUGAGUAGCUUGGACAUGUUGCAACGGUUCAAAGAAGUUGGUGCAGUGGUAGAAUGAUGCUAGGGUCAUCGCCAGGUCUUGGAAGGAAUCUCCAACAUACAUCACAGGUUGCAGGGCGUUGAUGGCGGCGAAGGCGCAGCGACGGCGGUGUCUUCUGUUUGUUGAUGCCACUGCUAAUACUGUGAUUCUCUGGCUUUGUACGACACUGCAUCCCCAAAUCCACCUCCUCCAUGGGGUACGGAGCGCACAUGGUGCUGACGGCGAUUCCAAGGGUCGCUGGAGGUGCUGGUGUUCACUAGGGCAUUUUCUUACAGUUCUCCUGUUUCUCAUCGUCUUCUCCUUCAAUCGCCACCAGAUCUUCGAUAGCCUCCUGUUCGAGAUCCUCAUCUCCGAAAGUGUUCCAAGGGUUGAUGUCUUGGGCUUAGGUUCGAAGGUUAGUCUGCUUCCGUUGCUCUGCUACUGCCUUGGAAGGUGAUCCACCGCAGCGCCUGGCCUCCCUCGAGCUCGUCACUAUGGCCACCAUGAUAGCAAAGAACUUCAACGACCGCCGUCAAACGACUAGCCGGUCGUGAAGCUCGAAGCACCAUCUUCUCGGCCUCCUUGCUCCGCUCCCUGCAAAUUCCUCUACCCACCACCCAAAUUUAUACAGAAAAAAUAUAUUAAAUAAAUAAAUAAAUAAAUAAAUAAAAGGGAUGGUGGAGCAAAGUGAUGAUUGCACCGCGUGAAAAAAAAAAAAAAAAAAAAAAAAAGGAGAGGUGCAUCUGGCACCAUGAUUAAAGGCCAAAAAAAAAAAAAAGGGUUUGAUCUUUGGUGCGUCUGGCACCAUGAUUAAAGAAAAAAAGAAUUGUUUGAUAUUUGGUGCUCAGGCACCAUGUGCAAAAAAAUAAAACAGGGGAAAGGAAAGGAAAAUAUAAAAAAAAAUGGAUGGUGCAUCUGGCACCAUGUGCAAAAAGAAAAAAAAAAACAUUAAGAGAAAUAAAAGUCCAUUUUAUUUAUUUUUCUGGAAAUUUUACAUAAAUUUGCAUUAUACAUACCUUAAAAAAAAAAAAAUAAAAAAAAAAAAAAUCAAAUCAAAUCAAAUCAAAUUUACAAGAGGGGAUAUUCAAGGACGAUCAGGUGGCGCCUCACAACUCGGCAGUACUCCAGGAAGAGAAGGCGCUGGAGGUUGACUGUUUGAAGCCUCAGCAGUCGGUACAGCCCCAGAAGACGAAGGUAAAUGCUGCUGGAACAAACCCACAAACCUCCGAUGAUCAAGUAAGAUCUGACCAUCAGAUUCCUGCAUCUGGUCAAUUUUCCUCUUCAUGUUUGUGGCAUAGUUGUGUGCAAGCUUGUGCAACUGUUUAUUCUCAUGCUUGAGCCCUCUGAUCUCCUGUUUGAGACUCAUCACUUCAGCCGCCAACGAUUCAACUUGACGGGUUCGAGCAAAUAGGCGUUGGGCCAUGUUGGACACAGAACCCGCACACUGCACACUAAGAGCCAGGGACUCCUUAACAGCCAACUCAUCAGAUCGCCUGGAAAGUAGUCUGUUAUCUUUGGGAGUGACAAGGUUCCGGGCCACCACCGCAGCGGUCAUAUCAUUCUUCAUCACCGAAUCCCCAACAGUAAGAGGACCAGUAGGGGAUAUGAAGGAUGGGCGCCAUAUGUUAUCUGGAGAAGACGGGACUACCUCUUCACCAAGGUUCAAAUCAAAACGACGGUCGGAAGGUCCAGACAUUUUCAAAGUGUUGAAUGAAGAAGAGGUCGGACGAAUCAAGAUCUUAGAAGUGCAAGAAGGGAGUUUUCACAAGUAAAAUUCAAGUGUGCUUUGAAACGAACAUCGUGCCUCUAUAAAAAAUCAACACUCGACGGGAUUUCAGAGAUCGAAGGGGCAAGCUCAGAAUUCGAAGACGCCAAUUCAAAAAUCGAAGAGGCAAGCACAGAAAUCGGAGAAGCAUCUUGCUUUUCCAGACGUGUCGGCACCCUUCACACGCAAACUCAGCUUUGCGGAAAUCACGGGUAAUUUGUCGAAGCGCCAAUCCCAGAUAUCGAAGAGGCGCCAGUCUUUUUCAGCCGAGUCAUCACCUGUCAUAUGCACACUCAACUUUGCGCAAAUCACGGGCAAUUUGUCGAAGAUUUUCGGUGAAGGAGAAAGCACGUGAAAUUUUACUGUUCAAUCACGCGUUAGUUGCCGACACGAGUGAAAGAAUAGUACCUCUACAGGUAUUAAAGAACUUCCUAUAAACUGUCCACCUUCACCUUACAUAGUAAGGUAGACAUACAUAACAUUUCUUCAUCUCCAAAAAUGCUUUCCCAACGAAACCUCUCGAGUCAUUCAGUGUUCCUUAUUCCUUGGGGUACCUCAGCAAACAAAUGACUCCAAAGCAAAAGUAUCUCAUAUCACCAGGGUAGAAAGCAAGAGUAUCUCAUAUCAUGCGUUCUCCCUGUCCUUUCCUUUGUCCUUGUUCUUACCUACAAAGACAAGGAUAAAGAAAACAAUAUGCCGGAACUUCCACUCAAACUCGGGUAAGGAACCGACUGCUUGGAACCCUUCCCUGAUUGCCUACCUAGCACUGCUCUCGAGUACUCGUUUCGCACUGCUGCUGUACUUCCAAAGAAGCUGCCACAUCUGCCUGGAGAACAGAUAAGGCAAGUGAAAAUGAUACCUUGCAGCAUGUGGAGACAAAGUGCAGAAGGAACAAGCAGAGAAGAAUGUGGUCUGCACAGUCAACUCAGCAGAAGGAGUCCGAACUGAGGAACUCGAGAAGCUGCCAUAUCUGCCUGAAGAAACAAGCAGAGAAGAAUGCAGCAUGCACAGCCAACUCGGCAGAAAGAGUCUGAGAUGAAGAACUCGUUUUGACCCUCAAAUUCUUGGGUCGACUUACUAGGCGUUGUGGGCUGCACGUGCCGAUUCACCACCCUUGAAUCGAAUCCUUAAAGAUCAAGUCACCAACUGGAAGAAAGCCCAUCAAUCUUGAAGAUCAUACCGUUGACCAAACUGCUCAGGUGUGAAUUAGAAAGAUUGAACAAAGAAACAGGUUAUCACCUUCACCUCGUGCCUGCUUGCCAUGUGUUCGAGUCAACCUUCAAGAAUCAAGCCUCAACGGCCCUUGAAGAAGUUUCCGGCCAAAUUCAAGAUCAAGCCUCGACGGCCCUUGAGGAAAUCACAAGUCCGAUUCAAGAUCAAGCGUUCACCAUAUUUGAAUCAAAUCCAGUUCAAGAACAAGCUGUGGAAAAUCAACAAUUGGAGGAAUCCAGAAAAUCCUCCAACCCAGUUCAAGAUCAAAGCUGUGGAAAGUCAACAAGCGCAAAAAAAUACGUGCCGAUUCAUCCACUACCAAAGCCAAAUAUCAUCUACCACAUGAAGCUCCUUGUGGCCCAAUUUCAACCUUCAAGAUCAAGCCUCGACGGCCCUUGAAGAAAUUUCAAACAAAAGUUCAAGAUCAAGCCUCAACGGCCCUUGAAGAAAUCUCAAGCCCAAUUCAAGAUCAAGCCUCGACGACCCUUGAAGAAAUCUCCAGCCCAAUUCAAGAUCAAGCCUCAACGGCCCUUGGAUCGACAUCUACAGUAAGGGACUUCAAAACGCAUCUCCUACACAUGACAAUCACAUGUAUACGACGCGCCUUGAAGUGGGGGCAUUUGUAGACAUCGAAAUUUCAGUAAAUAAAUGUUGACCGAUAAAUCAAAGUGUCAACGCUCAUGUAUUACAUAAAUUUUACACGUAGCGUGUGACUCAACGAAAAUUGAAAUAAGUUGGAAAAGUCAUCAAAUAGGACACGUGUCAACACCUGGCAGAAACGACUUAUUUCAUCUGGAAUAUUAUAUUCAAAAUUAGGCCUUGGAAAAUUCUAUAAAUACAAGCCCAUUUCAUUCAUUUGAAAAAACCGAAAAUCAUUAGGCAAAAACUCUUGAAGCUCUGAAGCUCUGAAACUCCGAAGCUCUCAAGCAUCCAGGUUCCCGAAGAAUCAAGAAAGCGUUCUUCGUUCAUCGUUCUUCCAAGAUCAAGCCCGACGGCCCUUGGAUCAACAAUCAUCCACCUUCAAGCCCAAGCCUCAACGGCCCCUUGAAGAAAGCGUUCAUCGUUCAUCAACUGUUCAUCCUCAAGGAUCAAGCCCCAACGGCCCCUUUGGAUCGACAACAUCAACAAAUCCGCUCAU
rnacentral:lncRNA from 1 species